CUCAGGAUGAACGCUAGCGGCAGGCUUAACACAUGCAAGUCGAGGGGUAUAAGUCUUCGGAUUUAGAGACCGGCGCACGGGUGCGUAACGCGUAUGCAAUCUACCUUUCACAGAGGGAUAGCCCAGAGAAAUUUGGAUUAAUACCUCAUAGCAUAACGACCUGGCAUCAGGAUGUUAUUAAAGUCACAACGGUGAAAGAUGAGCAUGCGUCCCAUUAGCUAGUUGGUAAGGUAACGGCUUACCAAGGCUACGAUGGGUAGGGGUCCUGAGAGGGAGAUCCCCCACACUGGUACUGAGACACGGACCAGACUCCUACGGGAGGCAGCAGUGAGGAAUAUUGGACAAUGGGCGCAAGCCUGAUCCAGCCAUGCCGCGUGCAGGAUGACGGUCCUAUGGAUUGUAAACUGCUUUUAUACGAGAAGAAACA
rnacentral:rRNA from 1 species